AUGGGUAUGAAUCAAAGCCAGCAUUUUCUGAAGCCAUUGAUUUAAAGCAAGAGCCUAAAGUGGUAAUUUUCUAUGGUCUGCUGGCCAUUUUAGAACUUUAGAAAUGUACUGGUCAAUUCAUUAUAAAGAAACAACU
ensembl:snoRNA